rnacentral:rRNA from 1 species
AGCGAACGCUGGCGGCAGGCCUAACACAUGCAAGUCGAACGAAGUCUUCGGACUUAGUGGCGGACGGGUGAGUAACACGAGGGAACGUGCCUUUAGGUUCGGAAUAACUCAGGGAAACUUGUGCUAAUACCGAAUGUGCCCUUCGGGGGAAAGAUUUAUCGCCUUUAGAGCGGCCCGCGUCUGAUUAGCUAGUUGGUGAGGUAAAGGCUCACCAAGGCGACGAUCAGUAGCUGGUCUGAGAGGAUGAUCAGCCACAUUGGGACUGAGACACGGCCCAAACUCCUACGGGAGGCAGCAGCGGGGAAUCUUGCGCAAUGGGCGAAAGCCUGACGCAGCCAUGCCGCGUGAAUGAUGAAGGUCUUAGGAUUGUAAAAUUCUUUCACCGGGGACGAUAAUGACGGUACCCGGAGAAGAAGCCCCGGCUAACUUCGUGCCAGCCGCCGCAGUAAAAC